AGUGAACGCUGGCGGUAGGCCUAACACAUGCAAGUCGAACGGCAGCACAGUAAGAGCUUGCUCUUACGGGUGGCGAGUGGCGGACGGGUGAGGAAUACAUCGGAAUCUACUUUUUCGUGGGGGACAACGUAGGGAAACUUACGCUACUACCGCAUACGACCUACGGGUGAAAGCAGGGGAUCUUCGGACCUUGCGCGAUUGAAUGAGCCGAUGUCGGAUUAGCUAGUUGGCGGGGUAAAGGCCCACCAAGGCGACGAUCCGUAGCUGGUCUGAGAGGAUGAUCAGCCACACUGGAACUGAGACACGGUCCAGACUCCUACGGGAGGCAGCAGUGGGGAAUAUUGGACAAUGGGCGCAAGCCUGAUCCAGCCAUACCGCGUGGGUGAAGAAGGCCUUCGGGUUGUAAAGCCCUUUUGUUGGGAAAGAAAAGCAGCAGGUUAAUACCCCGCUGUUCUGACGGUACCCAAAGAAUAAGCACCGGCUAACUUCGUG
rnacentral:rRNA from 1 species